AGACUGAAGAAUCCUUGCAGGAGCUUGCACCAGCUUGUUGUUUAUGCAGACUCAGAAAUACCCUGUGCAAGAAUAUGAUAUUUGGUUUAUCAAGUUUUCAUGUGAUUUUCAUUACAAUGCGGCAGCAAUAGGUAAAGGCAAUUGAGAUACAGUUUUUGUACUUGUUACACUCACAACUGCAUUGGAUCUGUUCUAUAAUUCAACCUUUUGAACUUGGUCUGAUGAUCGAGAUUGAAAGAUUGCAAACAUAGGCUGUGUUUGGAUGCACAUUCGAAUUAAAAGAUUGCAAAUAUAGGCACAUUUCAAAUCUUUCAAAAAAAAAGAAAAGAAA